ensembl:lncRNA
CUCGUCUGCCCGGAAUAUUGGUGAGGGUUGAAUUAUUUCACAAACGAAAAGAAACAAUCGCAGAACCCUUUUAGUUUUUAAACCGAGCCCGGAUUUUGCCACGAUGCUCCGGAUUUACGCUUUCAGAUUUUUACUCUUCGAAGUGGCGUUCAGAAAAAUAACGCUCCCAAUCCGUUGUGCGUUUUCUUUUUCGUGUACGAAAAUAAAAGUCAUUGGUGUGAGCGGGGGGAUGGUGUAGGAAGGAGUGGUGCGGGGUUCGGUGCAUGGAGAGCAUCGCAGGGAGGCUGCAGGGAGGCUGUCCUGCUGGUUCCCAGCCCGAGCUCUGAUUUCACUGCCAAAUGUACCCCCAAAACGGUCCUUUCUGCUUUGCAAUCGCUUUUUUCCUUUUAUUAUAAAAUAGAAAACAAACAAACAAACCACCAAACAAUCUGUCAAGAUACCCCGUGCUGGAGCGUGGGAGUGGGCCGACAGGGCACAGCGCGAAGCUGGCUUUAGGAACUGAAAGCAGCACAGAGCCCCGAGCCCGGCACUGGAGGAAUUUGAGGCAGCACGGCUUUGUUCCGGCUCUGUGCGUUGCAGCACGGGGCUGAGUGGGCCUGGAGCUUUGGGACAGCCAUGUGAAGGCAUCGCUCACUGAGCAGGAGGAGGAGAGGGGACCCUCAUCCCAAAGCCCUGCACCAGAGCAGGGAACUGCCCUGUGGUGCUGUAGGAGCACUGUGGGCAUCGUCAUGCUGGGAUGGAGGGCACAGAACGAGUCCUGCCCGUAGAGAUUGUUGUAUUUUUGCUAUGGAGGGUAAUUUUUUGCUAUAGGCAAUAUCUGUCCUGCAGGGUGAGCAGAGAACGGACAGUGUGAGCCAUGCCCAGCACUGUGCACACCCUGGCACUGAGCAAGGAUGCAUGGUGAGCCCCAGCACUGCUCUGCAGCACUGCCUGAGGCCCUGGGGGUCAGUUGGCUGCAUUCAAAUGCUGUGCUCACCACAGCAUGGGCCGGGUCCCAACGCUCACAGGCAGAGCAGGGCAGUCCCUGGGCAGCACCACCACGCUCCAGGAGCAAUGUUCCCACUGUUUGCCUUCACAUCCCACUGCUCUUUAGGCAAAAGCAUCCUCAGCCAUCCUCACACCCACCACCUCCACACAAGGCCCUGCUCCUGGCCAGAGCUCCUUUCAGCCUUUUGCACCACAGUGCUGCCCAUGGGGGAAUCUCCUCUUCCACCUCCUCCUCCUCUCUGGAGUGGGGCCAGAUGCUGCCAGCAGCCCUGGGUGUGGGAGGGACAUCCCAACCAUAGGGCUCAGACUGAGCCAAACUGGGAGUAUGGAGAGGGGUCAGUGCUGCCCCUGUUCCCCCCUACAUCACCCCAGGGCAGAUCUAAACUAGCUGGAGCUCAGGGGUUGGGAAGGGAGGAGGGGAGGGGAAAGCAGUGCCCAGAGAUGGAGCAAGAGGCACCAGAGAGGAGGAUGGAUGCAAUGGAGGAAGGCAAGGUGAGAGAAGGAGGACUGGGGGGGAAGGCAGCAGGAUGGAGGCUGUGGGGAAAGAUUUUGGGGGCAGCAUUGGGUUUCUGCCCCAUAGCAUUGGGAUGGGAUUUCCUCCUGGGCUUCUUGCACCGGGUUCAAUCCCAGUCCCCACGUGGCUGUGGCCCUGCACUGUGCCCCUCAGCUGCAGCAGCACCAGAUCAGUUCUCGUCUCCACAUUGGGCACUUUGCUCCUCACCCCUGGGAGAGGGCAAUGUCUUGGCAUGCUUCUGAUACACUGGAAGCAGGGAGAGCUGUAAAAGACAUCGUCCCAUUCCUGGGGGGAGGCUCAGUAAGGAAAGGAAAUGAGAACAAACCAGGGCCAGGCCUGGAAAUAGGGGGUUUGCUGCUGGUGGGAUGGGGUUUGCUAUGAGACCCCAAAGUUGCUGUUUGGAAUGGGGGGAGCAGGAGCUGGGGAUCUGCCCUGCCUGCUGUGCUGCUGGCUUCUGCAAGGAGGAAGGAUGGCUGGGAGUCAUUAAGCAGAGACUGAAGGCAUUGCUUACGGAGAUGUCUGGGAAAGGGCCAUUUCAGGCCCUGCUGUGUGCAGGGUCUGGGGUCAGGAGGGGCAAUGGCUCAAUGCCUCAAUGCUGCUCUGGGGCACAGGGAGCCCACAGCAAUUCCCUGUCUGUGGUGGGAGACCCAGCUGGCUCCUGCAAAACAGGGGACAAAGGAUCACCAAAAAUGCAGCCUUACCUCUGUAUCUGUAGCUCUGAGUACCGACGUGGCUGAGGCAGCCCGGCCAGAUGAGGAUGCUGUGUGCCUUCAUCAGUGGGUGUGCUCCGUGUUGUGCAGUGGGAACACCGAGAUGGAUGGGGAAGGGGCUUCUUAGACACACUGCGCCUGAAAUAAAUGGAUAGGGUGGAAUUUUUACAGCCCAUAGGGGUGGCAGGAGGUGCUGUUCACACCCACUGUGCCCCCAGCGCUCAGUGCAGUGGGAAAUCAGCAGCUGGGUGUCCCUUCCCCAUUCCCCUGCUUUGCCAUUCUGCACUGAAGCUUCAGCUGCAAGAAUCCUCACUGAGAGACAUCGAACUUACCGAAACUCAGCACGCAGCCCAUGGCAGCCAGCAGCAGUGGGGAAACUGAGGCACAGCGUGGCUGACAGCUCCGUGACCGGUGCUGAGCACUCAGCAGGGAUGGGUGCACCACCGGGGCUGACCUGCAAUCAAUCACAGUUCAUGUCCCUUCAGCAUCGCAGGGCUGGGUUAUUUCUGGCUCCUCGUGGCCUCAGAGCCCUCUCGGUGCUGGGACGUGCACAUGGCUGAAGUCAAAGGGCAACAUGGGCCUACAUGGCCUGGGAGUGGGACUCACAGCCCAAGGCCGUCGGGAUGUGCAGCGGGAUGGGAUCAGGGCUGACUUUCUGUUCUGGAACCCCCAGCCAUGCAUCCACCUUGCGAUGGGCAGUGUGAGUGCUGAGCUCCGGAUGGAAGAAGACAGCAGCAGCUGCCUGGACUGCACUCACAGAGCGGCUGCAUUUCUUCCCCCUGAGCCGUAAAUCGCGGGCUGGGGCCGGCGGCAUCCCUCUCGUGGUCGCCCCGGGAUGAGUUACGAGGAGAGAGCUCCGCAGCCAGGGCUUUGCUCCAGGGCCCUCCCAAGAGCCAUUCUCCUCCUUUUUCCACCCCAAACCACACUGCUGCCCCACUGGGGUCUCUCCAGCCCCACUGCAGGACCCCACGCUCCCGGCGCUCCUCCGCUCCCCGUCCUCCCGCGGCCGCGGCGAGCGGGCAGAUGUCUUGCUGACAGCUUCAGGAACACCUUGUAGCAGUUGCGGUGAUUCCUGAGAUCCAUUGCUUCCCAUUUCAAUUCACACAUCAUGAUUUCUAAACCUCAGCCCGCACCUUCCCUUCACAGCUCCCUACCUCCAGCCCGCCAGCACUGGGAGCGAUGGUGAUGGGGACACAGGGAAGGGGACCCGGUUCAUCCUUGCCUGACCACCACCUCCCGCCAUGCCAUGCCUUAGGGAGAGCCCCACACCCCGCCAAAAAAAUAGGCACAAUCAGCAAAAUGCGGGCUGGGAGGCACCUGGAGGGCAGUGAGGGGACGGUGCUCCUUUCUGGGGACCCAGGGCUGAGCCGCUGUGUUCCCCUAUGCUGUGUGGCUGUGGUAGAGGCUUGGCCUCGGGGUGAUAAAAGCGGCGUGUUUUUCCAAUUAGAAGAGCCAAAUGUCUUUUCCUGCCAGCAUUCAGCCCAGCCUAACAUGCGAUGUCUACAUCUUAACCUUGAAGAAGCCUCCAGAGACGCUGCUAAAUAAAUCAACGCGGCUCCACGUGCUGGAAAACAGAACCAAUAAAUAACUUCAGAACAGCUUUUCUGUUUACUGUAUGAAAUCCCCGCUCUUGGCCACCCUGUUCCAAAACAGCUCGGCAAAAUAAAGGCAAAAAGAAACACCAGCAGCACUGUAGGGCAGCAGCCACCAGCACAGGGCUGGCUGCAGGUGUGGGGCCCACUCCCCACUGACCUCUGGGAUUUGGGGCAGAGUGUGUCUGUGCAGUGUUUCAAAAGCAUUAAUGGAGGUAAUAACAAGAAUAAAAAACGCACCCUGCAAAACAGCCUCCUAGUGCUGUUCUCCUGUGGCAAGGAGGAUGCUGGAGUGAAACCCGCAGGGGAUGCUCACAAAGUCCUGUUUGGUCCCCAGGAGCCAUGGGAUGCAUUGGGGUGCUCAGCAGCAUCGCUGGCCCCGGUUGUGCCCCCACACGUGCCAGAUGCUGAAGGACAACCCCAGGCUGUUCAGAGCAGCAGCAGUUCCUCCUCUUUUACACCAAUAAUAAAUAUGCCUUUACCUUUAGCAUAAAAGAAGUUUGCAGCAGCUGCUAAAAGGGGACAUAUAAAGGCAUCUUCCUGCUUCCUGGGGCAGAGAGGUCUCAUGGAGGUGUUCAGUGUGGAUGGAUGCCUGGGGAGUCCUUCUGACAUCUCAGCAGAGGGAACAGCAGAACAGAGCCUGUUGGAGAGGAGCAUUAGCAGAAUUCAGCCAUGUAAGACAAAUCACUGCAACCCAAUGCAACAGGCAGGUCCAGCUCCCUUCGUACUGGAAGCCCCUGACCCAAAGCAAUCUGCUGUGUGGGGGCUGAGCUCCACAGCCCCCCUGGGCCAUGCACCGGUUGAAACCCCGUCCCCAGACCACGGUCACGGGGAGCUCAUCCUCUACAGUAGCCCAUCCCAGGGCCAUUGAAUGGGGAUUGAUUAUUUGUUGAUUUAUUUUACAUGGGAUCACCUUCCCUGGGCACCAGGAGAGCAGAAGCAUCCCAGAGCAAGGAGGGCAUGAUGGGUCAGGGUCACAAUCCUGCAACACACAGGUGAUGUACCCACAGCAUCGGAUGGGCACCACAGCUCCCACACGCUCAUCACUGCCCCAGUCACUGUCACCACUGUGUCCCCAUUGUGGCACAGGGACAAGGGCAGCCCCACAGUGCCAUGGGCUUUGUCACACACAGCAAAUAGCAAUGGGACAGGUUUAGCAACUGUGGGGCCUUCUGUUCUUCCUUACAUCUCGGAGCCAUUUCCUUAAAUGCUUUACAUUAUUUAUUAUGUUUCAUUUAACCCCAGCCACGUCCUCCAAAUAAAAUUUAUUUUGCAGCUGUCAUUCAGGUUUACUCCAGCCUUAACCUCAUAAUCCUAUUGAUUCCCUCAUUAUUCUCCGGGCGCGGGAUUGAUUUCAUGCCUUCUGUGUUAUGGAGAAGACUUUGCUCAUUAAUCUCACGCGCGUUUACGAAUGGCCAGUCCCAGUAAUUCAUUAUUUUCUCCUUCCCCACACAAACUCUGUUACCUUGUCCACUUCACAUCUUGAUUUUGGGGCAUGGACAGCAGUGAUUUCUCUCCUGUCUGGCUCCUUUCCGGAGGGAGCGGCGAUGGGCAGCCACCCUUGUGUCCUACAUCGCCAUUGGGUUUGGCCACAGGGACUGUACCCAGAUGGCAAUUGCAUACCUCCAACCCAACAUGUUGUUGGCACAGCAGUCCAUUGGUGUGGUGUUCCAUACAGCCCCAUCGGUACUGGAUGUGGAGGAAGACAUGACCCCUGUCGUGGAGGCUUAGAGUAAAAAAUAGGCAGACACCGUGGGGCAGACACGUCAUAAAUCCAAGCGGAGGGGCCAAUCUCAAAUAUUUCAGCUCUUUCCCUCCUCCCCCCUAUAAUAUAUAAUUGUCUUUGUUGGAUCAAUACAGAGGGGCUUUGUGGAAGGAGGGCGCUUUAAGGGAAGAUUAAUGUCGUGCAUUAUGUAUGCAGCUAGGAGGAAUUCCAAUAUCCAGCUUCCAGGAGGAAAGGAAAGGCCAGAGAGAUGGGAUCCUCCUUCCAGGAUGGGAGCACGGCACAGCCCACGCCAGAGUUAGGGGUGGGAGAUUCUUGUAGGUUUGGACCCCUCACACCUACCUGUGCAAGGCAGCAUCCCACCCUCAAGGUGCAGAACGAACAUCAUUUAUCCACAGCAGUCCAUCAGCAUUGUCCUGGGUACACACACACAUAAGCAUCAUCAGCAAAUGAACACCUGGUCUGAAGGCAACAGCCCUGGGCUGAGCCCUCCGCUCAACAGCAGCGCCAAUGGUGGCUUCCUUGAGUUGAGCAUCCCGCAACCCACAGCCAUCAUAUGGAAUACAUUUAACCAAACCGAGUUUUGAUUAAACACCAUAAAUAUGAUUGAUUUGGUUACAUACCCUCCACAUGACAGUCCGUUUAAUUUAUUUUUUCAUUCUGAGUAGGGAUGUUGCAUUGAUCCGAAACAUUGGCUUUGACUACCACCGUAAAUUCCCAUUCUUGGAGACCCGCUGCGGCAUUAUUAAUACUUUUACACUUACCAGCAGUGGUUGGAGGUCAAC